CAGUCAUCGAAAAUCUACGUGUCCGUGAUGUAGUGUCGCGCACGAGAGAUUGUACUGAUUUUGACGGAUUUUGUCCACGACCCCUCUUAUCCGCUAAUCGGAACUAACUUAUUGUUGACAGAAUACAUUGCGAUACGACUAUUUCGGCUGUUUUAUAAUCACCGUAAACUCCGUGCUAAUAGACGAGCCUUUCGUAUUGUGCAGCGAAAUUCGACGAUAUCACAAGUGCGCAAACCAAUAUCGUAUUUAACCCGGGGAGGAGU